rnacentral:hammerhead_ribozyme from 1 species
AUCCAGCUGUGGAGUCCCAAAUAGGACGAAACGCGCAUCCUGCAU